AACGAACGCUGGCGGCAUGCCUAACACAUGCAAGUCGAACGAGACCUUCGGGUCUAGUGGCGCACGGGUGCGUAACGCGUGGGAACCUGCCCUUAGGUUCGGCAUAACUCCCCGAAAGGGGUGCUAAUACCGGAUAAUGUCUUCGGACCAAAGAUUUAUCGCCUUUGGUUGGGCCCGCGUUGGAUUAGCUAUUUGGUAGGGUAAAAGCCUACCAAGGCGACGAUCCAUAGCUGGUCUGAGAGGAUGAUCAGCCACACUGGGACUGAGACCCGGCCCAGACUCCUACGGGAGGCAGCAGUGGGGAAUAGUGGACAACGGGCGAAAGCCUGAUCCAGCAAUGCCGCGUGAGUGAUGAAGGCAUUAGGGUUGUAAAGCUCUUUUAACCGGGAUGAUAAUGACAGUACCGGGAGAAUAAGCUCCGGCUAACUCCGUG
rnacentral:rRNA from 1 species